UCUCCAGCUUCCUCAAUCAAGAAAUGUCAAGAGAUUCAGAAUAUACCUGUAAAUAGUUAUGAAGGUAUUCUGAACAUAUGAAAUGACAAUCUUUUUAAAUUGUACAUUAUAAUGGAGCUAUUUUCAAAUAUCAUGUCAUUUGGAAGGCACUAAGUGAUAAUAAAUAACAAAAAAAAAUUUCCACAUUGGUUCGUGUCAGUGGUUCUCAAAGUGUGGUCCUCUGGACCAGGAGCAUCAGCAUCACCUGAAAACCUGCUUGAGAUGCAAAUUAUUCCAGACCUCCUGGAACAGAAACUCUUGGGGUGUGGCCUGACAAUCUGUACUUUAACAAGCUCUCAAAGAGAUUCUGAUGUGUUCAAGUUCUGGAACCAUGGAUCUAGGCUUCUAGAAGACCACUCACCGACAGGAGUGAGUGCUGGCUUGCUCUGCAUUCUUCCCUCCAAGUGAACCUAAAAUGACAUGACCCUAUGUCUCUGGACAAAUUUUUAAAUUUCAGACUCAAGGUGCCUUUCCAACUCUGACUGUUAAUUGAGUAUGUCAGUACUGCUCCCCUAAGGUGAGCAUCAUUUGAUAAUGCUGGUUAUCUCAUAGAAGGCAUGGCCAUUCUAGCUCCUAUGCUCUGCUGUAGACAUGUUCCAGAAUGCCAAGGGAAGCAAGGCUGGCCCCAUGUUCUCGUGCAAGUCAUGACAGCCAGAUAUUGGAAGUCCACCUCACACCUCAGAUAUAUAUACCAGUGACUGUAGGGCACUAAAUCUCACUGUUGAAGACUGGACCCUUUGACAGCUUCCACAUGCAAUUCUGUCUCACUCCUCUGAGUGCUUCCACGCCCCCAUGUCAGGUUGGGAAUUGCUGCCCCUACUUCCCUAUUAGCCCAAGGAUGUGGUUGACACAGAAAAGAGGACACGAGCUGCCGGGAAAGGAAACCAGAGCUGCCGGACUCGUUCCUCCCUAUCACUGGGCUUCCUGUUCUGGGAGUGACCUUUGUACACUGAUGAGUCUGUGACAUUUGGAGCGGCUGCAGCCAUCCUGCAACCAUGAGGACAAUCCCAACAUGGUGGGAAUGGCAGAGCAGAAAGGCAGAAAGAACAUUGGACCCUGAUGACCACCUAACCACACAAUUAGCCAGCCCUGGAACUCUCUCUCCUCUGGACAUCUUGUUGUAUGAGAUAAUAAAUUUCCUUCUUAUGUCA
rnacentral:lncRNA from 1 species